ACGGGGCAGAGCUAUGCUAGACUCUAAGCUAACGGUGUCAGGAUUUUAAAAGAUAGUCAUGGAAAAGGAAAGAAAGGACAUGUCCAGAUAAUGAUGACAGGAAAGCAAAGACAGCAAAGAACACGAAGAAUGGAGAAAAGCCAGAAAGGGGAAAGAGCAUAUAGGAUUCGGAAACUGCACAACGACAGAAAGAUGAAAGGAUGUUAUUAAGGCACCUGAACACAAACAGGCGCGGUCAUAAUGGUUCUUGAUAUUCACCCCCUCAGCAGUGGGAGCAAUAACUACCGAGAAGGUGAAGGGGCAAUUGAUGACCGCUGGAUUUCUUCACCCCAG
rnacentral:lncRNA from 1 species